UACGGGGGGGAGCAAGCGUUGUUCGGAUUUACUGGGCGUAAAGGGCGCGUAGGCGGCGUGACUAGUCACUUGUGAAAUCUCCGGGCUUAACUCGGAACGGUCAAGUGAUACUGUCGUGCUAGAGUACAGAAGGGGCAACUGGAAUUCUCGGUGUAGCGGUGAAAUGCGUAGAUAUCGAGAGGAACACCUGCGGCGAAGGCGGGUUGCUGGGCUGAUACUGACGCUGGAUGCGCGAAAGCCAGGGGAGCGAACGGG
rnacentral:rRNA from 1 species